GCAUAUCAAUAAGCGGAGGAAAAGAAACCAACAGGGAUUGCCUCAGUAACGGCGAGUGAAGCGGCAACAGCUCAAAUUUGAAAUCUGGCCUCUGGCCCGAGUUGUAAUUUGCAGAGGAUGUUUCUGGCGAGGUGCCUUCCGAGUUCCCUGGAACGGGACGCCAUAGAGGGUGAGAGCCCCGUACGGUUGGUCGCUAAGCCUCUGUGAAACUCCUUCGACGAGUCGAGUAGUUUGGGAAUGCUGCUCUAAAUGGGAGGUGUACGCCUUCUAAAGCUAAAUAUAGGCUAGAGACCGAUAGCGCACAAGUAGAGUGAUCGAAAGAUGAAAAGCACUUUGAAAAGAGGGUUAAAUAGUACGUGAAAUUGUUGAAAGGGAAGCGCUCUUGACCAGACUUGCGCCGGUUGAUCAUCCACCGUUCUCGGUGGUGCACUCUGCCGGCUCAGGCCAGCAUCAGUUCGGCUUGGGGGAUAAAGGCCUCGGGAAUGUGGCUCUCUCCGGGGAGUGUUAUAGCCCGUUGCGUAAUACCCUGGGCCGGACUGAGGUUCGCGCAUCUGCAUGGAUGCUGGCGUAAUGGUCAUCAGUGACCCGUCUUGAAACACGGACC
rnacentral:rRNA from 1 species